AGGUGUAUUUUUAGCAAGUCGAUAUACACCAGAUGUUUCAUAUGCAUAUUAUAGUAUACAACACAUUUUAAGAGAA
rnacentral:sRNA from 1 species